UACGUAGGGGGCAAGCGUUGUCCGGAUUUAUUGGGCGUAAAGCGCACGCAGGCGGUCUCUUAAGUUUCGAGUGACAGGUCAGGGCUUAAACCCUGGGCAGGCCCUUGGAAAACUGGGGGACUUGGAGGGCGUUCAGAGGGACGCGGAAUUCCAGGGUGGAAGCGGUGAAAUGCGUAGAGAAUCUGGAAGAACACCGAAGGCGAAGGCAG
rnacentral:rRNA from 1 species